GUGGGUGGGUGCGCAAGGGGUGCAGGGAAGUGGGGGGGCAGCAAAAGUUUGUCCCAAAGAUAGAGUUGCAGAUGGAUGGGUUUAAAGCAGACGACUCUGACAGCCGCCUGCAGUGUGUGAUUUGAACUGUCAAGAGAAAGUUUCGCCUUCCUCCCGCGACUCAAAAUUCUUGGCGUUGUGCGCAGUAGUUCCCGCCUGGCUCUACACCCCGGGGGUACAAAUCUUACAUCAGGAGUACCUCCUGUCGUGUAAACUGCCACAUGGUCGGCCUGUGAAAGUACCCCCCGCUGGAAGGGACACCAAAGGUCUCCACUGCAGUACAGCUGCCAGUGAGUACAAGACUCAGUGACGGGUCCACCUUGCGCAACGCCGAGCCCUCUGACCUUUGGCACACCUGACCUCGGCCUGAAGGUCUCGAGGGUUGUCCAGUGGCGCCACUGCCGGCGGGGUGAGCUUUACUUUGGGGAGGUCACCGACAGGACUUGUUUUGCCUGCGAGUUAGUGACUGAUUGUUCUUGCUACCCGGGCAGGAUAUCUGGAGCAGACUGAUAGGCACACGAGUGAGGUGAUGUCUGGGGAUGUGGGUUUGUUUAUUUGCGCCUUCUGCUCUUUCAAUUGUUUAUGUGUAUGUUAAUGUGUUGAUGAUUAUUAUGAUGACGUUUCCCCUAUCAGUAGGUAUCAAAUAUCUUGCAAAUUUAUCCACCAUUAUUCAGACGAUACCUUUAUUUCUCUUUCUCUUUAUCAUCAUUAUUUCUGGGUUGUCAUAAAGCAAGUAAGACCAGAUGAAGUUAAAAUAAAAAUCACCAUGUCGCACACCAAAGGUAGUUGACCCUCCAGUCUGGAUUCCCACACCAGCAACUACACCGCUACAACCCCACAGGCUACCCAGGAAGGCGGACGGGUGUCGGGGUCUCGAGGGCGACAAAUUAUCCAGGUCAUCUCGCCCAAGGGUCUCCUUAUUACCAGGCGUGGACUGGUGGAGCCGCCAGAUGGUCAAGAUGUCCAGUAGUCAGUGCGAUAUGGCCGCAGGGAUAAGAUUUCAGGGAUCUCGUGACUGGACUCUGAUGAGUCUAAUGACUGCUGCUCCCUCGGCUCCCCGCGCGCUGCAACGUCAGCUCCCCAGACAGACCAACAGAAGUCACGUGAUGACGUCUCGCGCCGCUGUCCAGCGAGAUGAUGUGCAGUGAUCGAACAUCAACACGAAUGACUCUAGAGCAGAGGUGGGCAAAGGAUGGGCCCGCGGACAUCUUUGGACCUGCCCGUCAGCCCAAAUGUGAAGUGCACUUGUAUUCAUUUCCUUUCAUUCAGCGGUUAAUUUGAUUAAAAUUUAAACUCCAUUAUGUACUCAUUUGUUGUUUAUUCCGUUAUCACUAGGUGUGUUGUGUACCUGACUCAUGCUUUUGAUAUUUUUUCCAGCACGCCGCAUAGUUCAAAAUUUUGAGACCGGCUAGCAAAAAGAAAACUUUGGCCACCCUGCUCUAGAGAGUUUUCUUGUUUAUUGUUGUGUUCUGCCAAAAGUACUGACUCUGUGUUGUUGACAUUGUAUUUUACUGUGGCUCUGUGAUAGUCGGAGCAUGUUAUUGUGUGCUGUGGGAAGAACACAUCGUGAUGGACGUCUGUUGUGAUCAGACUACACCGAUGACUUUGUGUCGUUGUUAAUGACUGUGAUGUCCAGAAACAACCUUGUGUUGUGAAUAGAUUAUGCAAAUGAUCUUGAGUUGCAAUCAGACAGCACAACAGAACGGGAUAGACAGCGCAAUCAUUUGAUUAUCCCCCAAAACAGAUUAUCCCCCAAAUCUUGCGAUAUGAUCUGAUGACUCACGUGACCCUGUACUGUGAUGAGGUUUACACAAAUACAUUUUGUCUGCGGCGAUAAUGCGAUGACUAACAAUUUGUCGUUAGUAUCGGAGGAGGGGAGACGGAGGAAGAGAAAUAUUUUGCAAUGAGAACCCAAGACCCGUAUGUUUGUUGCUAGGAAGGCAAGAAGCAGCGUCACACGGAGGCAAGAAAACACUUAUCUCGACAAAUUCUUUCUGACAUGGCGAGCGACUACAGACCCCGGCUUUUGUUAUCACAGAGGUGGCGCGUCAAGGGAGAUCAGCCCAAUAGAUGGCCUGAUGUCACUCAGGAUAGGAGGCAUUGUGGGAUGCUUGGGGUGGGGGAGGAUAACUGAUGUAGGUGAGAACAACCCCCUCUACUCACACCCUGGAUCCCCCACCCUGCACCCUCAGCACUUUCACGCCGUCUGUGGCCAAGAAGGGUGGGGGAUGAGGGGGUAGGUGGGGGAUGAUGGGGUAGGUG